GGGGAUUUAGCUCAGUGGUAGAGCGCUUGCCUAGGAAGCGCAAGGCCCUGGGUUCGGUCCCCAGCUCCCCA
rfam:Rattus norvegicus chromosome 14, whole genome shotgun sequence.